AUUGGCAAAUGAUGAUUAGUAUCUUAUACUACACACAGAUGAAUCAGUGUUGACAACUAAUCUCUCUUUUAUUAUCUGAUGCCAUA
rfam:Arabis alpina cultivar Pajares chromosome 1, whole genome shotgun sequence.